UGCGGGGGGGGCAAGCGUUGUUCGGAAUUACUGGGCGUAAAGGGCUCGUAGGCGGCCAACUAAGUCAGACGUGAAAUCCCUCGGCUUAACCGGGGAACUGCAUCUGAUACUGGAUGGCUUGAGUUCGGGAGAGGGAUGCGGAAUUCCAGGUGUAGCGGUGAAAUGCGUAGAUAUCUGGAGGAGCACCGGUGGCGAAGGCGGCAUCCUGGACCGACACUGACGCUGAGGAGCGAAAGCCAGGGGAGCAAACGGG
rnacentral:rRNA from 1 species